rnacentral:miRNA from 1 species
UUCUGGAAACCUACGUGAGGGA